rnacentral:tRNA from 1 species
GGUGUGGUGGCGCAGUUGGUUAGCGCGUAGGUCCCAUAGCCGCUUAGCGCGUAGGUCUAAUAACGCGUAGGUCUCAGUUGGUGUGGUGGCGCAGUUGGUUGAGGAAUCCUGAGGUCGAGAGUUCGAGCCUCUCUCACCCCA